rnacentral:rRNA from 1 species
UUCGAGCGGACCGAAGGGAGCUUGCUCCUUUAGGUUAGCGGCGGACGGGUGAGUAACACGUGGGCAACCUGCCCUGCAGACUGGGAUAACUUCGGGAAACCGGAGCUAAUACCGGAUAACACCGAAAACCGCAUGGUUUUCGGUUGAAAGGCGGCUUUAGCUGUCACUGCAGGAUGGGCCCGCGGCGCAUUAGCUAGUUGGUGAGGUAAUGGCUCACCAAGGCGACGAUCCGUAACUGGUCUGAGAGGAUGAUCAGUCACACUGGAACUGAGACACGGUCCAGACUCCUACGGGAGGCAGCAGUGGGGAAUAUUGGACAAUGGGCGAAAGCCUGAUCCAGCCAUGCCGCGUGUGCGAAGAAGGUCUUCGGAUUGUAAAGCACUUUAAGUUGGGAGGAAGGGCAGUAAAUUAAUACUUUGCUGUUUUGACGUUACCGACAGAAUAAGCACCGGCUAACUCUGUGCCAGCAGCCGCGGUAAU